rnacentral:snRNA from 1 species
GCCUUCGGGCAUUAGGUCAUUUUGAAAAGAUACAGAGAAGAUUAGCAUGGCCCCUGCACUAAGGAUGACACGCUCAAGUGCGACCCCCCGAAUCCCC